rnacentral:rRNA from 1 species
GACGAACGCUGGCGGCGUGCCUCAUACAUGCAAGUCGAACGCAGUGGGGACGGGUGCGUAACACGUGGGUAACCUCCCAUCAGAGGGGAUCACACUUGGAAACAGGUGCUAAACCGCUACUGAUUGAUGGACCCGCUGUGCAUUAGCUAGUUGUUGAGGUAACUGCUCACCAAGGCCACGUUGCAUAGCCGACCUGAGAGGGUGAUCGGCGACACUGGGACUGAGACACGGCCCAGACUCCUACGGUAGGCAGCAGUGGGGAAUCUGAGGCAAUGGACGAAAGUCUGACCGAGCAACGCCGAGUGAGUGAAGAAGGUGUUCGGAUCGUAAAACUCUGUUGUUAGAGAAGCGGUAUCUAACCAGAAAGCCACGGCUAACUACGUGCCAGCAGCCGCGGUAAUAC